ensembl:lncRNA
UUCACGGGAGAUGAAAGUCUUCAAUAACCUGAGCAGAAAGGAAGGAGGAGUAACAAUAGCUUUAAGACAGGAGGGCUGCUCCCAAGAAUUCUUCCUCUUCUUCCCCAGCCCCUUCAAUAAGGCGCUUGCUGGCUUGGUGGUCUUUCUUCCUGACUUUCGAGGCAUGUUUGGCCGCAUGGAUGAGACUGCAGGCUCCGGAACCCGAAGGAACCGGAGAUCGUUGCAGAAUUUGGCUGAUUUCAGAGCGAGGGCAAGGCAAACAUACCCCAAAAUGGCUGUGCUUUUGCAUUCACAUCGUUGGAGAUCUUCCGCCACUGGAGUAUUUUUAUUCUACAACAGUCUGUGUUUUAUGUGUUCUCUGCACCUCCAGCCUAGCACACAUCUGGGCCAAGAGACUUCCAUGGAAUUUUUCACAUGCUCAAGUCUUGCCUGCUAGAGGGGAAACUUGCUUUUGAAGGCAACUGUCACUGCAAGUCUACCGGGAGGACAGGACAUAAACCUGUGGAUUGAGAUUGGUACCGCAGACUCCUUUAUGCCUCCCACAAAGACACCCAAUGAACCCAUCAUCAAAUGGUUCUUAACCUCCCAAACAUCUCCCCUCUCAUUCUGGGCCAGCUUCGCAACCGUGCCGUGGCGCGGGGCCGGCUCUCAGCGGUGUCUUCUGGGGUUUAAGGCUCUGAGGCUGCUAUUUAACGCAUCUUAACCAGGUUGGUUCUGGGGUUUUGCGAGGAAGUCGAAGGGGAGG